GUGAAUCAUCAAAUUUUUGAACGCAAAUUACGCUCUCUGGUAUUCCGGAGAGUAUGCCUGUUUGAGGAUCAGUUUAAAUAAAAAUCGGUUUGUUUGCUGCCUUUCUUGGUGACGCACCGGUUUUGAGUCGUCUUGCCUUCGGUUGAGUUACCUAGAAUUUUUCAUGAUUUUGUUCGAACGUAUUUAAAUGAUUUUACGUACGUUUACGUUAGCGAAUACUAGGGGUGGUCAUCCUCAUGAUUC
rnacentral:misc_RNA from 1 species